rnacentral:rRNA from 1 species
AGACGAGAAGACCCUGUUGAGCUUGUUAUCCCAGGAUCUGGAAUAGAUUCUGGAGUAUGUUUUUUCGGGGCCGAAAGGAAGGGACUAUCAUACCUUCUUUCUUAAUAUGGAUCCAGCAAGGUUGACAAUAAGAAGAUAGUUACCACAGGGAUAACAGCGCAAUUUUUUUAUCAAGAUCAUAUUUGAGGAGAAGUUUGCGACCUCGAUGUUG